UACGUAGGGUGCGAGCGUUAAUCGGAAUUACUGGGCGUAAAGCGUGCGCAGGCGGUGAUGUAAGACAGGUGUGAAAUCCCCGGGCUUAACCUGGGAACUGCAUUUGUGACUGCAUCGCUGGAGUGCGGCAGAGGGGGGAUGGAAUUCCGCGUGUAGCAGUGAAAUGCGUAGAUAUGCGGAGGAACACCGAUGGCGAAGGCAAUCCCCCUGGGCCUGCACUGACGCUCAUGCACGAAAGCGUGGGGAGCAACAGG
rnacentral:rRNA from 1 species